GGGGGUACGAGAGGGCCGCUACCACGCGAGUGGAUGCCAAUCCCUAAAACCCCUCUCAGUUCGGACUGGAGUCUGCAACCCGACUCCACGAAGCUGGAUUCGCUAGUAAUCGCGCAUCAGCCACGGCGCGGUGAAUACGUUCCCGGGCCUUGUACACACCGCCCGUCAAGCCAUGGGAGCCGGGGGUACCUGAAGUGCGUAACCGCGAGGAUCGCCCUAGGGUAAAACUGGUGACUGGGGCUAAGUCGUAACAAGGUACC
rnacentral:rRNA from 1 species